rnacentral:rRNA from 1 species
CCUACGGGCGGCAGCAGUGAGGAAUAUUGGUCAAUGGACGCAAGUCUGAACCAGCCAUGCCGCGUGCAGGAAGACGGCCCUAUGAGUUGUAAACUGCUUUUGUAUGAGGGUAAACUCCGAUAUGUGUACUUCUCUGCAAGUACCGUAUGAAUAAGGAUCGGCUAACUCCGUGCCAGCAGCCGCGGUAAUACGGAGGAUCCAAGCGUUAUCCGGAUUUAUUGGGUUUAAAGGGUGCGUAGGCGGUCGGUUAAGUUAGUGGUGAAAUCCCGAGGCUCAACUUCGGAAUUGCCUCUGAUACUGGUAGGCUAGAGAGUAGUUGCGGUAGGCGGAAUGUAUGGUGUAGCGGUGAAAUGCUUAGAGAUCAUACAGAACACCGAUUGCGAAGGCAGCUUACCAAGCUGCAUCUGACGUUGAGGCACGAAAGCGUGGGGAGCAAACAGGAUUAGAUACCCGGGUAGUC